rnacentral:rRNA from 1 species
GAUGAACGCUAGCUACAGGCUUAACACAUGCAAGUCGAGGGGUAACGAGAGGAAAGCUUGCUUUCCUUGUCGACGACCGGCGCACGGGUGAGUAACGCGUAUCCAACCUGCCCCCAACUAGGGAAUAACCUUGCGAAAGUAAGACUAAUACCCUAUAAUUUCCUCAGAUGCCAUCUGACGAGGAAUAAAGAUUUAUCGGUUGUGGAUGGGGAUGCGUCUGAUUAGCUUGUUGGCGGGGUAACGGCCCACCAAGGCAACGAUCAGUAGGGGUUCUGAGAGGAAGGUCCCCCACAUUGGAACUGAGACACGGUCCAAACUCCUACGGGAGGCAGCAGUGAGGAAUAUUGGUCAAUGGGCGGAAGCCUGAACCAGCCAAGUAGCGUGCAGGAUGACGGCCCUAUGGGUUGUAAACUGCUUUUAUACAGGAAUAAAGUUAGCCACGUGUGGUUAUUUGUAGGUACUGUAUGAAUAAGGACCGGCUAAUUCCGUGCCAGCAGCCGCCGCAG